rnacentral:misc_RNA from 1 species
UCACCGCAUCGCGGCGCGGAUCGGCCGGGAAACGUCCGGCUUCCUAGAACCGCACCACUGGCUGGCAAUCCGGCGCGAUUUCGCGCAAUCUCCGCCUCAAGUGCCGGCGUCGUCACCGCCUCGGUGAACCGACGACCGCACGUCAAAAAGAGCAGGGCGGAGACACCAUCAAUGAACUUCCUGAAAUCAAAGAUAUCGCCAAUGACAUUGGCGCUCGCCAUCGCGGCCGGCGUUCUGG